rnacentral:lncRNA from 1 species
UCAUAUUGAGGCAGAUCCAUUCAAUAUCUCUGUUCCCUAAAGAACUAGUGUUAGUUAUUAAGUAAAAGCUAGUUCGAUGCUAGUAAAAAACAAGCCCCUUGCUUUACCAAUAUCAAGGACUAAUGUCAAACAGUUUCAAUUGGUGCAGAGCCAAAUAGGAAGUUGAUGCAAUUGUGAAGUCCAAUAAAAUCAAGGAACAUUAACCACGCAUAAAAAGAUGCAUUAACAGGAAAAUUUUAAAAAAAAACACACACAAAAUUGCAUAGAUUAAAUACAUACGCAGCACGAAAUAUUCAAAAAAGUUUGGAUCUUUAAGCAAUUAAAAAAGCAGGCAAAUAGAAGAACAUACAAAAACAAACUGAAUUACGUCGAUAUUAAGAUAAAUACUACAAUCUAUAAAUGUAUACCUUAAAAUGACUGAAAUCUAACCUCCGAAUCCUCGGAUUUGAUCUUGGAACAAUAAUUCUUUAGCAAAUAAAAAAUUAAAUUCAGUUUCGAAAUAUUUAUGCAAAAUUGAAGUUCAGAACAAAAUGCAAUGAGGGUAAAGUUUGAAGAGGAAUGCUGGAGAAGAAGGAAGGAGCUGAAAGUGUGAGGAUGAAUGAGAAACAGAGGAGGA